UUAGUGGAAUAACAAUUCAUUCUCUUUAUACCACUAUUAAUCUAAUAAUAAAAUAUUACUAAUUAAUUUAUUAUAUAUUAUUUUAUUAACCUAUUAGCUAGAUUAAUAAUUAGCCAACUUGAUUUAUUACUAUAAUAAAUAUUUAAUUAACUAUUUAGUAAAUUAGUUUAUUAUUCAUAUUAAUUAAUUAACUAAUUACAAAAUUAAUCAAUUAAUAUUCUGACCAAUAUAACUAAUUAAGUAAUUAACUAAUUAAUUUAUUAUAUUAAUAUACUAAAUUAUUAUAAUUUAUCAAAUUAUUUAUAGUUAGUUAAUAUAUUAAUUAACAAUACUCAUAGCUAAUUAAUUAAUAUCCUAAUUAAUUUAUUUUUUAAUGUUUAUGAUUAUCUAAUAGUAUUCAUGAUUAUCAAUUGAUUAAUUAAUUUGUUAAAUUAUUAUUUAAUUAAUAUUUUGAUGUUAAUUAGUUAUAUAAAAUAUUAUUAUUUUAAACCUAUAAUAACUCUUAUUCCUAUUAUUUCUAUCUAAGUAUCGCCAAAGUUAGCUCCAAAGUUAUACCUAUCUCAGAAAUAAUUAAAAAAAAUUAUUUUCGAAGGGUAUAUCUUUGAAAACUGAGGUACGUAGAAUUGGGUCCACACAAUAGUUUCCCAUGGUGAACAAUUCUCAUCAGGGACCACCACUAAACGACGGGGACAACUUUUUUAUAGGGAAUCUUCCAACAAAAUUUGUUCCAAGAGGUUCCCCAAAUUAUUCAUUUGAUAAUAUUGGAUGAUCUAGUGCCACAUAAGCAUCCAAUCUCAUAUCUCCAAAUAACUUAGUAAGGUCGUUAAAAUUUACUUUUCUUCGACUACAAGUGAGUUUGAAAUAAUCUUUUAACAUGCAUGUUAUGUAAAUAAAUUAAUAAAUCUAUUUAAGUAAUAAAAUAAAUUAAAAUACUUUUCACUCUACGGUGUACCUCGCAUGUAUACAUGUUAGCGCGCCACAAACUUCAAUAAAAUCUUACAAUUUAAUUCAACUAUCAAGUGUAAUCGAAAUAAUGGUAGAAUAAUUAUAAUAGAAACGUACACAAUUUUUUUUCAUGUAUGAAUUGGGACAGGGCAAGUAAAGUGCAAGAACAUUUUCUAUAAUUUUAGCUCGAAAAAAAAAAAGAAUGAUGACCCAAUUAUAAUACUGUCUAGAAAGAAAUGAUGAUAGAAUAAUACUAAGACGGGUAGGUCUGACCCAUCCAAGCUAAAGUAAUACUAAGAUCGGUAGGUCUGACCCACCCGAACUAAACUAAUACCAAAAAGAAAUUUUCUCCCUACACGUACAAAUCACUAGUCUAUAACAUUAUGUCAUUUUCUAAUUUAUAAAGCAAAAUAUACAAAGAUUAAUGAUGCUAUACAAGAUUGAUGAUGCUGUACGUACACAAACGUUUGCCAUCAUUGUUCGUUUUUAGGACUUUUUUUAUAAAUAGCCCCCGACAAAUUUUUUUUUAAAAAAUUAGCCCUAUCAAAAAUUUAUUUACAAAUAUGACCCUGUCCCUGCCACGCAAGCGCCACGUCAGCGCCACGCGGGCGGGUCUGGGGCCAGGUGUUUAAGUUGAACACGGUAAACCAUUCACCGUGUUCAAACACGGUGAAUGGUUCGCCAUGUCCAAUACGUAUAUCCGGAGUUAAAAUGGCUAAGUCCGGAUUUUUGUAUUGGACACGGUGAACCAUUCAUCAUGUCCAAUACAAAUACCUAAACUUUGCCAAGUCCGGGGUAUUUGUAUUGGACACGGUGAACUAUAUUGGACACGGUGAACCAUUCACCGUGUCCAAUACAAAUACCCCGGACUUAGCCAAAAAAUGGCUGAGUCUCGAAUAUACGCAUUGGACACGGCGAACCAUUCACCGUGUUUGAACACGGUGAAUGGUUCACCGUGUUCAACUUAAGCACCUGGCCCCAGCACCGCCCGCGUGGCACUGACGUGGCGCUUGCGUGGCAGGGCCAGGGCCAAGGCUAUUUUUGCAAAUAAAUUUUUGACAGGACUAAUUUAAAAAAAAAAAUUGUCAGGGGGCUAUUUGCAAAAAAAGCCCUCUUUUUUUAUCCUGUAAACACUUAUUUUAUAUAAUUUGAUAUUGCAUUUACACUUAUAUUAGGGUUGUAAAACAGGCCGGGCGGCCCGGCAUGACUCCGGGUCGGGCCGUGGCCCGGCAGGGCAACUAUAGCAUCCAUGCCGGGCCGGCCUGGCCCGGCUCUCCGGGCCAUGGUAGGCGAGUCCCCCAGGGCUCGUAGGCCCAGCAUGACACGGUCCGUUAUGGACCUAGGCCGUGCCGGGCCAGUAGUGCGGCUUGUAGCCCGAUCAGCGGGUCUUUGGGAGUUGGGGCCUUAGGACUUGAGGAGCAAGGCUCCAAAGGUGGAGAGAGACAAGAACCUAGGGCCCUAGGCCCUAGGCCCUUAUCGGAAGAUGGCUAUCUUUCGAAAAAAGCAAACCUUUUUAAAAAAAUUUAUAACUUUAUUAAACUUAAAAUUAUUUUAAAAAUUUAUUACUUUAUAAAUAUUUUAAGAAAAUUUAUUAUUAUUUUUUAUCUAACAUAUUAUGCAAAAGAGAAUUAUCUUAUUUUUAAAAAAAUUUUAAAUUAUUUUAAUAGUUUUAGUAAAUUUUAAAAUAUUAAAGGGCCGGCAUGAAGCCCUGACCGGCCUGCGCCAUCCAGGCCCGAGGCCCGGCACGCCCCACGUUACAUCCCUGAGUUAGUUACACUUCGCCAUCCAGGCCCGAGGAUCGGCUCCUUCGAUCUCAAGAUGAUCUCUAUUUCGCUUUUUCUUUUUUGAUCUUUUGGGGGAAUUUUAGCUGCAUUGUAGUUGUGAUACGACGAAGUGCCUAGCAUGCUUGAUUGUGCUUGCUGCCCUUGGUGAUAAUUGAUCGGAGGCUUUUAAGUGUUUUGGGGAAUUAGGGUCUAUUGGUUAAUUUGGUUUUUGUGGGUUGGUGGUGAAAAGAAUCUUAUUUGAAGGAUUUUAGUGGCUGGGAUGAGUUAAUAUGAAGAUCUGGGUUUACUCCCUUGCAGGGUCGAUACCGGGCGUUAAUUCAGACCAGAUGAAGCUUCAGAUCAAGUUAGGGGUUCCUCGAUCGACCCAGCAUUUGCUCGAUGUCGAGAGGGUGAAAUCCAUCUUUAUAAAUAAUUAUCUUUGUCGAGAGAAAAGUAGUUAGAUGCAUGAAACUGUAAAUACAAAUAUUUUGUUUGGUUAGACGUAGUUUGAAGCGAGGACUGCGACUAUAAAUAACUAGGUUAGUUGCAUGUAUUUACACAUUUUAUAACUAUACAAGCAUAGAGGUAGGUCAGAAUACUUUGAAGUAUUUGGGCUUCGUUAUUAUUGAGUUAUUUUCGGUGAUACAGCAUCCGAAUAUAAUAGGGAAGAUUAAUUUUUUCUUAGAAGAAAAUUGUUUAGAAGUUGAUUACUAGAUAUGUAAGCAUUUUGUUUAAAAUUACUCUUUCUAGCUGUAAAAUUUAAAAUUACGGCUAAUUUUAACGUAAUUUCAAUUGCUGUUGUCGAGUUGCCUUGUCUAGUUUAAAAUGCACUUAAUUAAAUUCAAAUAUAUUGAACUAAAUACCACACUUAGAAUUGCACACAAAUUAAAACUAUAAUAUACCUGUAAUUUCAUUAGAUCAAACAGCUCCAAAGUAAAUUUUUUGUUAUUUCAAAUGGAGUACGAUUAAUCUCGAAUCAAUUUGAACAUCAUUAUUAUGAUUAAAUUUUUAAGGGCUGAUUUUCGAAUUAUAGCAAGAGGAAGUCUAUUCCAGCCAAUAAUUUCCCUCAGCAUGUUGUUGGUCGACACGUCAUGAAUGUCACGUCAAGAAUUAUAUUUGUGGAAUAAGCGGCUUAUUCGUGGAAUUGAAUUUUACUGUAUAAUAGUCCGGUAACUAGUUUUUGACCCGUGUGAUGCACGUCUAAUAUAAUAAUUUAAAAUAAUAAAAGUUAUUAUGUAAUGAUAAGAGAAAAAUAUUUUAAUUAACAUUAUAUUUUUUAACAAAUAAAAAAAUAUUCUAUCAAUCUUAAUUAUAGUAUAGAAUAAAUAUCUUAAAAAGUCAAUAGUUAUUAAUUUGACCCGUGCGAUGCACGGCUAAUAUAAUAAUAUAGAAUAAUAAAAGUUAUUAUGUGUNAUAAUAAAAUAUUACUAAUUAAUUUAUUAUAUAUUAUUUUAUUAACCUAUUAGCUAGAUUAAUAAUUAGCCAACUUGAUUUAUUACUAUAAUAAAUAUUUAAUUAACUAUUUAGUAAAUUAAUUUAUUAUUCAUAAUAAUUAAUUAUCUAAUUAAAAAAUUAAUCAAUUAAUAUUCUGACCAAUAUAACUAAUUAAGUAAUUAACUAAUUAAUUUAUUAUAUUAAUAUACUAAAUUAUUAUAAUUUAUCAAAUUAUUUAUAGUUAGUUAAUAUAUUAAUUAACAAUACUCAUAGCUAAUUAAUUAAUAUCCUAAUUAAUUUAUUUUUUAAUGUUUAUGAUUAUCUAAUAGUAUUCAUGAUUAUCAAUUGAUUAAUUAAUUUGUUAAAUUAUUAUUUAAUUAAUAUUUUGAUGUUAAUUAGUUAUAUAAAAUAUUAUUAUUUUAAACCUAUAAUAACUCUUAUUCCUAUUAUUUCUAUCUAACUUUUCAAAUGCUAUUUAUUUAUUCUCGAAAAUAAUCUAAUUUUUAUCGAAACAAAAAAUUGAUCUAUUCCUGUUUAAGUAUCGCCAAAGUUAGCUCCAAAGUUAUACCUAUCUCAGAAAUAAUUAAAAAAAAUUAUUUUC
rnacentral:lncRNA from 1 species